ensembl:lncRNA
GUAAAUGUAAAAUGUGUGACACCAAUGUCAAUUUGAUGAUAUUUUACAUUGUAUGUGUAUAUUAUAGAUAAUGUAGUACAUAUUUAUUCAUAUAACCACUUCAUCAAAUAAGACUUUUGUCUUAAAAUCAACCUGUUGUCAGCACACACUGACCUAAUCAAGACCAUUCAGCAGUGUGUAGUGACUAAAUGGUGUUCAAAAACGCUGUUUGUUGCCAUUUAGUGUUUUGGGGGACCAAAUAAAAUGAAAAGCCUAUUUUACCCUCGAGGGGCUUUAGUCCUGUUGUACAGUACCUGUUGAACAGUCACCAAUAGCAUUAGGCUUCCUGUCAUGUUCACUUGCUGUUUUAAGUGAUUUUGCUCAGUCACUACAUAGUAUACUGAAGUCUUAACUGAUGUUGUCUGAGUACACUUCACAAAGCACUGUCAACAUUAUAAUCCAUGCUCUUUUAUCAAGCAUUUUAAGAGUGCAGUGAAAAUGAUAUUUAGUCUCGCAACACAUCACUCUCGCACUUUUUUUUUUUCUGUGUAAUUUGUGUGCAGAGAGGAGAGAGAGGAGAGAGAGGAGAGAGAGAAGAGCUGGAAGAAUGAAGCCAUCACUCAGAUGCUAGCAGCAUGGUGAUGCUCAAAUCCCCAGGAGGUCAAAGGUCAAGUCCAAGAACUGGAGGUCUGAGGUUAGAAAGAGUUAAUCACAGUCAGUUAGGCCAGGCUAACCGUGUCACUGCAACUCUCUCUGAUUUCAUUUUACCCCCAAUCAAGCAGAGCGGCCGGUUCCACGCUGCUGCCUGACCCCCCUUGUGCUGGAGUACCAGAUCAGGUCACAGCACGACUGACACAUUUCACAGUCAUUAUAAAUCUCUGGGGUGGGACGUCCAUCGAUAGAUCUAUCUGAUGAGGAGGACUGCAUCUUCAGUGGGCUCGAGAGAUGAAUUAAAUAACCUCAUUUUAGAGAAGCAAUAGAAUUUGGGUUCAUCGUUUCAACUGGCGAAAUAAAAAUCGAAUUGACCCAGUUCAAUCCAGCAGCACUGGUGUGUUUAAUGUAUUUCAAUGAACCGUAAAUGAGCGCAGUAAAUGAGCAGGAAAAAUCAGUGCUCGCAAUGGACCAACACUGAAGUUUUCUUCAUUAAUAUGGACUGUAUAGCACACACGCAGAAACACACACCUGUCCGUGUUUGACAGGAGAUGCAUAAGUGGUAAUAUAGGAGAAAAAAUGACUUUAGAUUAGAAAAUACAAAAGCAGCGGGUGGUCUGCCAUCAGUAUGCGGUUGAAAGAAGCCCCAGACAAUUAUCUAUUGAUUACAUUUGUAAAUCCAACAGUGCAAUUUAAUGGGCUUUAGCUGGUAAUAGGAAAGUUUCUUGGCAAGAAGGAAACACAGAUAUUUUGUUGAGAGGAUUAGUUUAAUCUAUUACCCUCUGAAAUCACUAGGCAAUUACACAAUUGUCUCAUUAAGAAAGAAAGACUAUAAGCGGGAACACUGGCGAUUAUAAUGUGAACCUUCUAGUAUGCUCCAGUAAUCCCAGCUGACAUGUUGACACCAUAAGAGAACUUAUAGUACAGGUCAUAGCAACAGCAAAAGUCAGACUGUAAACAUAAACUGCACUGUAAAGCAUGAUUGCAAUCUUAAAAGUGAAAAUUAAAAAAACAAACAAACAAACAAAAAAAAAUGCUACGGUAAAGACCUGUUUGGGAUAGUUCACCCAAAAAUAAAAAUUCUGUCAUCCUUUACUCACCCUCAAGUUGUACCAGAGCUGUAUGAGUUUCUUUCUUCUGCUGAGCACAAAAGGGGAUAAUUUGAAGAAUGAUGGUAAGCAGACAUUUGAUGAUAGCCAUUGACUUCCAUAAUAUGAAAAGAAAAAAAAAAACUGUUUCUGGAGGUGAAAAAGAAUAAGUCAUCUUACAGCGAAAAACCAUAAACUGAAUCCCCUGUGUUUCAGAUUUUAAGAUUAUUGAUUGAAAUAAUUAUUUCUUAUCAUUUAAGUACAUUACGGUUUUGUGUUACAUCCUAUGGUGUUAAAUUAAUGUUUAUGGCAUUAUUUAAGUGUCAUGUUUGUUACUAUGAUGGUGUUUUGUAUUUGUGUGCAGCUUCUAUAUAUUAAUUUAUGGAAGCCCGUUUCUGCCACUGAAUAAAAAAUAAAUAAAAUAAUUGUGUCUUUAUCUCGCAAUUCUGACUUUUUCCUUGCAACUGAGAGUUUACAUUUUGCAAUUCUGUGCUUUUUUUCUCAGAACUGCAUGAUAUAAAGUCAGAACUGUGAGUUAUAAAGUAUGAAUUGCAUGAUAUAAACUCGCAAUUGUGAGAAAAAAGUCUGAAUUGCGAGAAAUAGUUGCAUUUGCAAGAAAAAAAAAACACUUCACUUUUUUCCGCAGAAUUGCAAUUUUAUAUCACGCAAUUCUAACUUUUCUUCUCCCAAUUGUAACUUUAUGUCACACAAUUCUGACAUUCCUUCGCAUUCUGUCUUUAUAUCUCACAAUUCUUACUUUUUUCCCUCACAAUUGGAAGUUAUAAUGUCAGGAUUAUAAGAUGUAAAACCACAACUGUGAGAAAAAAAGUCACAAUUAAUUUUUUUAUUUAUUUAUUUAUUUAUUUUUAUUCAGUGGAGGAAACAGUCUUUCAUAUGUACUGUAUUUACCUCAGAGUGUGUAAAAGUGACUUAUGACAAGCUUUGAUUCAUCACGUGGCUUUCCCUUUACCACUUGUGUUUUUUUUUUUAUAGUGGCUGUCAGUGUAUUAUUAUAAUUGUACAAGGCAGAUUUUUGUAUCUUAAAAGUUGGUAUAUUAGCAUUACAUCAAUUAUGUUGUAUAUUGUAGACAGAGAUUUUUAUGUUUAUAUAAAAACA